AUGAUCGUGUCCUUAUGGAUGGCAUACAUUGCAGCUCGUAAACGCCAAACAGACACAGAUGGCGUACCAGGUGAAGAACAGUUCUCGUGGUUAUUCAGGAUGCUGGAUACGUGGUCCGGGCUGUGGCCAGGGCAGAGGGCAUUACCACCGGCAGAGCCUAGGGCAGAUCAGCAGGCAAAACCUCCAGCAGAUCAGCAGGCAGAGCCUCAGGCAGAUCAGCAGGCAGAGCCCCAGGCAGAUGAGCAGGCAGAGCCUCCAGCAGAUCAGCAGGCAGAGCCUCCAGCAGAUCAGCAAGCAGAGCCUGGGGCAGAUGAGCAGGCAGAGCCUCCAGCAGAUCAGCAGGCAGAGCCUCCAGCAGAAGAGCCUCCAGCAGAUGAGCAGGCAGAGCCUGGGGCAGAUGAGCAGGCAGAGCCUCCAGCAGAUCAGGCAGAGCCCCAGGCAGAUCAGCAGGCAGAGCCCCAGGCAGAUCAGCAGGCAGAGCCUCCAGCAGAUGAGCAGGCAGAGCCUCCAGCAGAUGAGCAGGCAGAACCUCCAGCAGAUCAGCAAGCAGAGCCUCCAGCAGAUCAGCAAGCAGAGCCUCCAGCAGAUCAGCAAGCAGAGCCUCCAGCAGAUCAGCAGGCAAUGCCAAAAGCAGAGAGUACACCAGCUCCUCCAGACCUCCCACGUCCCAUCAGUCCAAGCCCACAGGAAGGGGCCAAUUUGGAGGUGCAGGUGUCUCAGCAGGUGGUCCUGAAGGAUGGGUUUCACGUCUUGUCCAUCAGGAUGCGCUGGAUGGUGCUCCAGGACAUGCCUGACCUCAAAAUUGAUACCACGGUGGAUGCUGCAACAAGAAACAUGAUGAUCACCACGACAGACACCGACAACUUAUCUGAAUGCCCUACCAACAACUAGGAG
rnacentral:lncRNA from 1 species